rnacentral:rRNA from 1 species
AGCGGCGGAUGGGUGAGUAACACGUGGGGAACCUGCCCCUAAGUCUGGGAUACCAUUUGGAAACAGGUGCUAAUACCGGAUAAUAAAGCAGAUCGCAUGAUCAGCUUUUGAAAGGCGGCGUAAGCUGUCGCUAAGGGAUGGCCCCGCGGUGCAUUAGCUAGUUGGUAAGGUAACGGCUUACCAAGGCGACGAUGCAUAGCCGAGUUGAGAGACUGAUCAGCCACAUUGGGACUGAGACACGGCCCAAACUCCUACGGGAGGCAGCAGUAGGGAAUCUUCCACAAUGGACGCAAGUCUGAUGGAGCAACGCCGCGUGAGUGAAGAAGGUUUUCGGAUCGUAGAGCUCUGUUGUUGGUGAAGAAGGAUAGAGGUAGUAACUGGCCUUUAUUUGACGGUAAUCAACCAGAAAGUCACGGCUAACUACGUGCCAGCAGCCGCGGUAAUACGUAGGUGGCAAGCGUUGUCCGGAUUUAUUGGGCGUAAAGCGAGCGCAGGCGGAAAAAUAAGUCUAAUGUGAAAGCCCUCGGCUUAACCGAGGAACUGCAUCGGAAACUGUUUUUCUUGAGUGCAGAAGAGGAGAGUGGAACUCCAUGUGUAGCGGUGGAAUGCGUAGAUAUAUGGAAGAACACCAGUGGCGAAGGCGGCUCUCUGGUCUGCAACUGACGCUGAGGCUCGAAAGCAUGGGUAGCGAACAGGAUUAGAUACCCUGGUAGUCCAUGCCGUAAACGAUGAGUGCUAAGUGU